rnacentral:misc_RNA from 1 species
GUGAAUCAUCGAAUCUUUGAACGCACCUUGCGCCGCUCGGUUUUCCGAGGGGCACGUCUGUUUGAGUGUCACGUCAAACUCUCACUUCCCUUCGGGUGAAGUGGAAUUGGACCGUGCUGUCGACCCCUCGGGGUCGUACGGCUCGUCCCGAAAUGCAUGGUUUGCCUGCAGAGUCUUGCGCGAGCGGGACCGACGAAACGGUGUGAUAUUUACUAUCUGCGCUGUAAGUAGUCGGACUCCAGCCUGCUGCACCAGGAGCGCUCUGGGCUUACAAUGGCGAGGGUGAGGGAAUUCACGUUC